rnacentral:snRNA from 1 species
AUCGCUUCUCAGCAUUUUGGCCAAGAUCAGGUGUAGUAUCUGUUCUUAGCAGUUUAACAUCUGAUGCAUCCUCAGUGAGAGAACUAAUUUCUUGUCCAGAGGAGGGCAACGAGGCUGGUGAGGGCCUGGGAACACAAGCCCCCAUGAGGAAUGUUU